rnacentral:rRNA from 1 species
UACGUAGGGUGCGAGCGUUGUCCGGAAUCACUGGGCGUAAAGGGUGCGUAGGCGGGUCUUUAAGUCAGGGGUGAAAUCCUGGAGCUCAACUCCAGAACUGCCUUUGAUACUGGAGAGCUUGAGUCCGGGAGAGGUGAGUGGAACUCCGAGUGUAGAGGUGAAAUUCGUAGAUAUUCGGAAGAACACCAGUGGCGAAGGCGGCUCACUGGCCCGGUACUGACGCUGAGGUGCGAAAGCGUGGGGAGCGAACAGG